rnacentral:rRNA from 1 species
UGCCCUAGUAACGGCGAGUGAAGCGGCAACAGCUCAAAAUUUGAAAUCUGGCACUUGUGUCCGAGUUGUAAUUUGUAGAGGAUGCUUUUAGGCAGCCACCGGUCUAAGUUCCUUGGAACAGGACGUCAUAGAGGGUGAGAAUCCCGUAUGUGACCGGAAAGGCACCUUCUGUAAAGCUCCUUCGACGAGUCGAGUUGUUUGGGAAUGCAGCUCUAAAUGGGAGGUAAAUUUCUUCUAAAGCUAAAUACCGGCGAGAGACCGAUAGCGCACAAGUAGAGUGAUCGAAAGAUGAAAAGCACUUUGGAAAGAGAGUUAAAAAGCACGUGAAAUUGUUGAAAGGGAAGCGCUUGCAAUCAGACUUGUCCUCGGGUGUUCCGCCGGUCUUCUGACCGGUCUACUCAUUCGGGGACAGGCCAGCAUCACUUUCGGCGGCCGGAUAAAGGCAUUGGGAAUGUAGCUCACCCUUCGGGGGGAGUGUUAUAGCCCAGUGUGUAAUACGGCCAGCCGGGAGUGAGGUCCGCGCUUCGGCUAGGAUGCUGGCGUAAUGGUUGUAAGCGGCCCGUCUUGAAACACGGACCAAGGAGUCUAACAUCUAUGCGAGUGUUCGGGUGUCAAACCCCUACGCGUAAUGAAAGUGAACGGAGGUGAGAACCGCAAGGUGCAUCAUCGACCGAUCCUGAUGUCUUCGGAUGGAUUUGAGUAAGAGCAUAGCUGUUGGGACCCGAAAGAUGGUGAACUAUGCCUGAAUAGGGUGAAGCCAGAGGAAACUCUGGUGGAGGCUCGCAGCGGUUCUGACGUGCAAAUCGAUCGUCAAAUUUGGGGUAUAGGGGGCGAAAGACUAAUCGAAACCAUCUAGUAGCUGGGUUCCUGGCCGAAGU